rnacentral:rRNA from 1 species
UAAUGUUUGAUGUUCUAACGUGGACCCGUUACCCGGGUUGCGGACAGUGUCUGGUGGGUAGUUUGACUGGGGCGGUCUCCUCCUAAAGAGUAACGGAGGAGCACGAAGGUUGGCUAAUCCUGGUCGGACAUCAGGAGGUUAGUGCAAUGGCAUAAGCCAGCUUGACUGCGAGCGUGACGGCGCGAGCAGGUGCGAAAGCAGGUCAUAGUGAUCCGGUGGUUCUGAAUGGAAGGGCCAUCGCUCAACGGAUAAAAGGUACUCCGGGGAUAACAGGCUGAUACCGCCCAAGAGUUCAUAUCGACGGCGGUGUUUGGCACCUCGAUGUCGGCUCAUCACAUCCUGGGGCUGAAGUAGGUCCCAAGGGUAUGGCUGUUCGCCAUUUAAAGUGGUACGCGAGCUGGGUUUAGAACGUCGUGAGACAGUUCGGUCCCUAUCUGCCGUGGGCGCUGGAGAACUGAGGGGGGCUGCUCCUAGUACGAGAGGACCGGAGUGGACGCAUCACUGGUGUUCGGGUUGUCAUGCCAAUGGCACUGCCCGGUAGCUAAAUGCGGAAGAGAUAAGUGCUGAAAGCAUCUAAGCACGAAACUUGCCCCGAGAUGAGUUCUCCCUGAGACUUAGAGUCUCCUGAAGGAACGUUGAAGACGACGACGUUGAUAGGCCGGGUGUGUAAGCGCAGCGAUGCGUUGAGCUAACCGGUACUAAUGAACCGUGAGGCUUAACCUUACAACGCCGAAG